AACAGGUGUUCAGUCUUCCUAAGGUCAGUGUUAACAGGUAUAUUGUGUUAACAGGUGUUCAGUCUCCCCAAGGUCAGUGUUAACAGGUAUAUUGUGUUAACAGGUGUUCAGUCU